UUGUCCGGAAAGAUAAGCGUGAAUUUUUUCGACGGAAGAAGAAGAUGCACCUGUACUCUUAGCUAAAUGAAGUAAAAUAAGUUUUAGAUUUUUUUCAAUACACCGUAUAGCUAACUUGCUUUCGUUCGACAGCUCAAUUUCAUCUUUUGGAUUCGGAAGAUGAAAUUCUAACAAGCUUCCUAUGAUUUUUGGUGCUAGUUCCUUCCGUCGCUUCACCAAAACCGGUAAGAUAUUCAAAACGCUAGUAAUGUAAAGGACAUUCAAAGAAUCCGAGAAAAGGAUGGAAAAUAUUUUUUCAAUUAAGUCAUUUGCUUCUAUUCUGAGGAUAUUUGAAUUGAUAAAAGGAUGAUGUGUGGGAACCUUAGAAAGAGACACGUCCGAUUUAGUUACAAGACGGGGAUCUCGAAUCCCAGGCACUUGCGUUAAAAUUACACAAGAAAUAAAUUUAAUACAAGAAAUUAAAAGAGGCUUGUUCCCUUUGUCAAAGUCAUUAAUGAUUUCGUUUUUUAGCUUCGUUAAAGUGUCCCAGGUAGAUGAAUCGUUAGGUGAAGUACAACAGUGCAGAAAUACUAGUGGGUAGAUUGUGCAAGAACAAGAUAUAACGUCUUUUUUAACUUCUUCA